AUAUUUACUUCCUAUUUCAUUUGUGUUUUGAAUGUUUUAUAUUUCUAUGUUCUGUAGACUUCGCACACUUUACGUCUCUAUCUUUUUAACUUCGCUUAUCUUAAAGAGAUAAAGCUUCGUCAAAAGGGGGGAGCUGUUACAUCCCUAGUUAAGAUGGACAUAGUAUA